rnacentral:misc_RNA from 1 species
UUAUUAAAUUAACUUUAUACUCCGACGUAAGAAUGCAGUGUUUUGAUGACCUCCGGGGGGAAUGCCGUCGAAACGGCAGGGUCGCCCCCGAAGCAACAAGAUGUGUUCACAAAGGGUUGGAGGUUCGGGAUUGCUCCCUAACUCAGUAAUGAUCCCUCCGCAGGUUCACCUACGGAGA